AGCAGCCGCGGUAAUUCCAGCUCCAAUAGCGUAUAUUAAAGUUGUUGCAGUUAAAAAGCUCGUAGUUGAAUUUCGGGAUCAAUAUGUUGGUCGUGCCUUGGUACGUACUAAUUUAUUGGUUUUUUCCUUCUGACGAACCAUGAUGUCAUUAAUUUGGUGUCUUGGGGAAUCAGGAUUGUUACUUUGAAAAAUUAGAGUGUUUAAAGCAGGCUCACGCUUGAAUACAUUAGCAUGGAAUAAUGAAAUAGGACGUUUGAUUCUAUUUUGUUGGUUUCUAGGAUUGACGUAAUGAUUAAUAGGGAUAGUUGGGGGCAUUAGUAUUCAAUUGUCAGAGGUGAAAUUCUUGGAUUUAUUGAAGACUAACUACUGCGAAAGCAUUUGCCAAGGAUGUUUUCAUUAAUCAAGAACGAA
rnacentral:rRNA from 1 species